CGCGGGAGCUGCCGCCCUGCUGCGGUGCCGGGCGGAGCUGGCCCGACUGCGGGGGCUGCUGGAGGAGCGGGACCACGCGCUGGCGAAGGCUGCCCGGGAGGCGGAGGAGAAGGACCGGGUGCUGCAGAAGUUGCAGGCGGGCUGGCUGCAGCGCGGGGCCGGGGGCAUGAAGCAGACGCUGUGAGCAGAGGAGGGGUUAAGAUGCUCAGUGAACCUGGCUGACACCUGACCAGAGGACCAAUUCGGGGACAAGAGACUUUCAGAUCUCGGUGGAGGGAAGGCUUCCUUUGUGCUGUUUGUUUUGUUGGUUGUUCACUCUAGGGGCUAAGAGGGACCAGACGUGCAACCAGGUUUCUCUCCAAUCUUCCUGAAACAGUCUUUCAUGUUCAAAAUAGUAAGUACGAGCUAGAAAAGGUGGAUUCGGCUUAUGUUUGUUUUCUUAACUUGUGAACGUGUAUUUUGCUGGAAGAAUUUUUACCUCUGUUUGCUGUAACUUGUAUCUUAGGCUAGGGGGGAGGGAGUCCCUCUAGUCUAUGUAAGCUGAAGACCCUGUAAACAUUUUCCAUCCUGGUUUUACAGAGACAGCUUUUAAUUAAGAAAGAAAAAGUAAAAAUUUUCUUUUUUAAGAACCUGAUUGAUUUUUUUCCUUGUUUAAGACCCAAGGGGCCUGGGUCUAAACUCACCAGGGGAUUGGUGGGGGGAAGGUUAAUUCCUCUCUGUUUUAAGAUCCAAGGAAUUUGGAUCAGUGUAGCCUGUCAGGGUAACCCAGGGAGGGGAAAGUCUGGGAGGGGGAAGGGUUUAUUUCUCCUUGUUUU